UGGGGAAUAUUGCACAAUGGGCGCAAGCCUGAUGCAGCCAUGCCGCGUGUGUGAAGAAGGCCUUCGGGUUGUAAAGCACUUUCAGCGAGGAGGAAGGUGGUGAACUUAAUACGUUCAUCAAUUGACGUUACUCGCAGAAGAAGCACCGGCUAACUCCGUGCCAGCAGCCGCGGUAAUACGGAGGGUGCAAGCGUUAAUCGGAAUUACUGGGCGUAAAGCGCACGCAGGCGGUUUGUUAAGUCAGAUGUGAAAAUCCCCGGGCUCAACCUGGGAACUGCAUUUGAAACUGGCAAGCUAGAGUCUCGUAGAGGGGGGUAGAAUUCCAGGUGUAGCGGUGAAAUGCGUAGAGAUCUGGAGGAAUACCGGUGGCGAAGGCGGCCCCCUGGACGAAGACUGACGCUCAGGUGCGAAAAGCGUGGGGAGCAAAACAGGAUUAGAUACCCUGGUAGUCCACGCUGUAAACGAUGUCGAUUUUGGAGGUUGUGCCCUUGAGGCGUGGCUUCCGGAGCUAACGCGUUAAAUCGACCGCCUGGGGAGUACGGCCGCAAGGUU
rnacentral:rRNA from 1 species